UGAGUAACCUGCCCUUCACUUUGGGAUAACCCUCGGAAACGGGGGCUAAUACCGGAUAUGACAUUUCACCGCAUGGUGUGGGUGUGGAAAGUUUUUCGGUGGGGGAUGGGCUCGCGGCCUAUCAGCUUGUUGGUGGGGUGAUGGCCUACCAAGGCGACGACGGGUAGCCGGCCUGAGAGGGCGACCGGCCACACUGGGACUGAGACACGGCCCAGACUCCGUACGGGAGGCA
rnacentral:rRNA from 1 species